AUUAGGUGCUAAGAUAUAAGCUUAAUAGGGAAAGUUAAAAACUACAGCCCCCGCUACUGUGUAUAGGGAUAAUAGAAACACAUCCACUGUAAUAUUUUUAUGGUAAGGGUUUCUAAAGGAUGAACUAUAAGUCAGGAGACCUACCUAGUAUGAAAU
rnacentral:ncRNA from 1 species